rnacentral:rRNA from 1 species
CAGCCGCCGCGGUAAGACAGAGGAUGCAAGCGUUAUCCGGAAUGAUUGGGCGUAAAGCGUCUGUAGGUGGCUUUUCAAGUCCGCCGUCAAAUCCCAGGGCUCAACCCUGGACAGGCGGUGGAAACUACCAAGCUAGAGUACGGUAGGGGCAGAGGGAAUUUCCGGUGGAGCGAUGAAAUGCGUUGAGAUCGAAAAGAACACCAACGACGAAAGCACUCUGCUGGGUCGACACUGACACUGAGAGACGAAAGCUAGGGGAGCAAAUGGGAUUAGAUACCCGUGUAGUCCCUGUCUCUUAUAC